CCUACGGGAGGCAGCAGUGAGGAAUAUUGGUCAAUGGACGAGAGUCUGAACCAGCCAAGUAGCGUGAAGGAUGACUGCCCUAUGGGUUGUAAACUUCUUUUAUAUGGGAAUAAAAUGUUCCACGUGUGGGAUUUUGUAUGUACCAUAUGAAUAAGGAUCGGCUAACUCCGUGCCAGCAGCCGCGGUAAUACGGAGGAUCCGAGCGUUAUCCGGAUUUAUUGGGUUUAAAGGGAGCGUAGGUGGAUUGUUAAGUCAGUUGUGAAAGUUCGCGGCUCAACCGUAAAAUUGCAGUUGAAACUGGCAGUCUGGAGUACAGUAGAGGUGGGCGGAAUUCGUGGUGUAGCGGUGAAAUGCUUAGAUAUCACGAAGAACUCCGAUUGCGAAGGCAGCUCACUGGACGGCAACUGACACUGAGGCUCGAAAGUGUGGGUAUCAAACAGGAUUAGAUACCCCAGUAGUC
rnacentral:rRNA from 1 species